rnacentral:misc_RNA from 1 species
GUGAAAUAACCUGGGACUUGACGUCCCAAACCAUCUCACAUCCACACACCUUUGUGCACUGUUGAAUGGGCCUGACUGAAUAAUUCAUUUUUCUUCGGGCCUAUUCUAUUAUAUUACAAACAUCUUAUGUAUGUAAGGAAAGUGUUAUUGGAAUAAUAAUAAUAAUAAUA